GUGGGGAAUCUUAGACAAUGGGGGAAACCCUGAUCUAGCCAUGCCGCGUGAGCGAUGAAGGCCUUAGGGUUGUAAAGCUCUUUCAGCUGGGAAGAUAAUGACGGUACCAGCAGAAGAAGCCCCGGCUAACUCCGUGCCAGUAGCCGCGGUAAUACGGAGGGGGCUAGCGUUGUUCGGAAUUACUGGGCGUAAAGCGCGCGUAGGCGGACCAGAAAGUUGGAGGUGAAAUCCCAGGGCUCAACCUUGGAACUGCCUUCAAAACUCCUGGUCUGGAGUUCGAGAGAGGUGAGUGGAAUUCCGAGUGUAGAGGUGAAAUUCGUAGAUAUUCGGAGGAACACCAGUGGCGAAGGCGGCUCACUGGCUCGAUACUGACGCUGAGGUGCGAAAGCGUGGGGAGCAAACAGGAUUAGAUACCCGUGUAGUCC
rnacentral:rRNA from 1 species